rnacentral:rRNA from 1 species
ACCUGGCUUACACCGGUUUAAACUCAGAUCAUGUAAAAUUUUAAAGGUCGAACAGACCUAAUAUGAAAGCAUCUUCACCAACAAUUAAUUUUAAUCCAACAUCGAGGUCGCAAUCUUUUUUUUCGAUAAGAACUCUAAAAAAAAUUACGCUGUUAUCCCUAAGGUAAUUUUAUCUUAUAAUCUAAAUUCUAGGAUCAUAAAUUCAUAAAUAAAUGUACUAAUAAAAAAAAAGUUAUAUUAAUUUUUUUGUCACCCCAACAAAAUAUUCUUUCAAUUAAAAUAAUUUUUAAACCUAAAUUUCAUCUAAUUAAAAAAAUAUAAAACUCUAAAGGGUCUUCUCGUCUUCUAUAUAUAUUUAAGCUUUUUAACUUAAAAAUAAAAUUCAAAUUAAUUUUUAUAGAGACAGUAAUUUUCUUAUCCAACCUUUCAUUCCAGCUUUCAAUUAAAAAACUAAUGAUUAUGCUACCUUUGCACGGUUAAUAUACCGCGGCCAUUUAACUCCUCAUUGGGCAGGUUAGACCUAAAAUUAUAAUC